rnacentral:tRNA from 1 species
GCCUUCGUGAUGUAGUGGUCAGCACGCUCGACGCGUAUUCGAGAGGUCCGUGGUUCGAGUCCCGGCGAGGGCA